rnacentral:lncRNA from 1 species
GCAGGGAGUGGAGCGGCGUCCGUUGUCGCGACUCGCCGGAGGAUGGGAGAAUCGCGCAGUAUCCAUUACAGAAGGUAGAGCAGGAUCGUGGGCAUCAUAGCGAUCUGCCAGGGAAUAGUGGAGCUGCACGGGAUCCGUCGCAGAAGGUGGAGCAGAGUCAUGGCUGUUAUAGCGGUCUGUCAGGGAAUGAUGGAGCUGCACGGAAUCCGCCGCAGGAAGUGGAGCAGGAUCGUGGUGGUUGCUGUGUCGUGCCUGGGAGUGCAGAUCCGUC